UCGCCGCCGACGACGUCGCGAGAAGUCCACUGAACCUUAUCAUUUAGAGGAAGGAGAAGUCGUAACAAGGUUUCCGUAGGUGAACCUGCGGAAGGAUCAUUGUCGAUGCCUGCAAAGCAGAACGACCCGCGAACCGUUUCUCAACACCCGGGGCACAGGAGGGCGUUUAGCUGCUCGGUGUCCCGACGCUUCGGACGUUGAGGGUGCGAGCCACCCCCGGCAGAUGGAGCAUCAAACACACCCCGGCGUGCAAAGCGCCAAGGUACUCCAACGGUAGGGCAAGCACCCGUAGGCCUGGACUCCAGCGCGUUCGGGUGUCUGUUCGGUGUCAUAAAUCUAAACGACUNNNGUGUGAAUUGCAGAAUCCCGUGAACCAUCGAGUCUUUGAACGCAAGUUGCGCCCGAAGCCUUGGCUGAGGGCACGCCUGCCUGGGUGUCACGCAGCRCGUUGCCUCCAAAACCUUUCCCCUCGUAACAUUGUGGUGGAUGGUUUGGACGCGGAAGGUGGCCUCCCGUGACCACGAGCCACGGAUGGCCCAAAUAUGUGCUGGGGAAGCGAAGCGCCACGGCGUUCGGUGGUCGGCAUAGCCCCCUGAGGCAAUGAAGCCCGUGGUAGCCGCGAGAGUCCCCGGUCUACGACCCUAAUCAUUAACCAAUGCGACCUCAGGUCAGGCGGGGCUACCCGCUGAGUUUAAGCAUAUCAAUAAGCGGAGG
rnacentral:rRNA from 1 species